rnacentral:misc_RNA from 1 species
AACUUUUGGCAACGGAUCUCUUGGCUCUCGCAUGGAUGAAGAACGCAGCGAAAUGCGAUAAGUAAUGUGAAUUGCAGAUUUUCAGUGAAUCAUCGAAUCUUUGAACGCACCUUGCGCUCCUUGGUAUUCCGAGGAGCAUGCCUGUUUGAGUGUCAUCAAAUUCUCAACGCCUAGGGUUUCACGACCUUUUGGAGUGUGGACUUGGAGGUGCCGGCAUCCUAUAUCGUCAGCUCCCCCCUAACGCAUCAGCGGCAUUCAACCCUUCUCUUCCGGACGUCAGGGUGAUAAUCAUGUUGCGCUGUCGUUCGAUACUCAGAGCCCGCUUACAAUGCUCUUUCGACAAAUCAUCUCCAAAUUUGACCUCAAAUCAGGUAGGACUACCCGCUGAACUUAAGCAUAUCAAUACGCGGAGGCU